rnacentral:lncRNA from 1 species
AAAAGUUUUAAUAACUCAUGAGAUAUCAUGGUGUACAACAAUAACACUUUGAUUCUUUAUCUUUUCAUAUACCAAAAGGUAUCAGAAUUUAAAGAAAAAGUAACCGAAUCUUUAACUAAUGUAAAAGAUAGGUCAUAAUAUUUUCAACAAUAGUAAAAAUUUUACAACGUUGAAAAAUAUACAUUUUUAAAGCAAAUGAUAUUUCUGUCAUACAAGACAGUGAAACGCGGUCAAUAAAAAGCUGAAUGGUCUCGGAAUAUAAGAUUGCAAAUCAAUCUGAAUUUAAAAUGAUAAAAGAAAGUUUAAUUUAACAAUGAAAAGGGAAUGUUUCAGUCUACAUAAAAAAAAUCACACUUGGAAGAAGUUAAGUGAAUGUGCAAAAUGUUUGAAAAUGUACAAGGUUACCAAUCGUUCACUACAACUAUGCCUUUAACUCGCAUUACAAUGUUACAUUUUUUCCUAUGUUUAAAAACCUCCUGACACCAUUGAAUGGCACCUAGUGAAGCUGGAACUGCUCAUCUUUUUGUAGCAAUAUUUAUCAAAGGUACCAGGAGGCUUAUAAUGAAAUACGCCAGACGCGCGUUUCGUCUACAAAAGACUAAUCAGUGACGCUCAGAUCAAACAAGUACAAAGUUGAAGAGCAUUGAGGACCCAAAAUUCCAAAAUGUUGUGCCAAAUACGGCUAAUGUAAUCUAUGCCUGGGUUAAGAAAAUAUUUGGUAUUCCGAAAAAAUCAUACUUUUGUUUACAGAAAAUUUAUAUAAAAAAGACCAUAUAAAUGCACUGAGUUCACGUUUGAUUUUUUUUGUGAAGUUUUUUUGUUUUUGCUUAUAAUCUUUGUUUUCCUUUGUCAUGUUUUGUGAACUAUUGUUGCUCUUUUCGUCUGUCUCUUUUCGACUCCUGCUAUUUCGUAUGAUAUUUUGAAUUUUAUGUGAAAAUAUUAAAACAGUACCAAGGUUGUGUUGCGUAUAAUAAUGAAAGAUAAUAAAAUGUUGUAUAAUGCCAGUAAAAUAAAGUUUAUUUCUAUAAAAAAAAUCAGUAGAUUUUCAGAUAUUUGCUUCUACAUUGUAACACGAAUAAUAAAAUGUAAAAAAAGUUGCACUUGAUGUCUGUCAUGCAACGUUAGUAUAUCACAAAUGUUAUAUUCCAUGUACAGUGGGUAUAAUAAAAGAUCAAAGUAUAGCCAAACAGGAAGUGAAUGUCUGGUAGAGUUGAAAAUGGCUGACAUUAUACAACUCAGCAUAAUAAAUUUCUAUAAAUAGAUAUAAAAUCAGUACAAAAUUCAUUCAGAAAAUGAUUUCUGGAGACCUCUUAUGCACUCCGAAUUUUAGUUUGCAGUGUAUCAUAAUAUUCACGUUAAUAAGAUUUUAAAUUAUAUAAAUGCCUGAAAUGUGUAUUCGAAGUCUUUCACACUGCGUGGCACUUUAAAAAAUAAUUAUAACUGGAUAUCAAAUUAUUAAAAGUCAUUGAUUGUGUAAUAACGAAUGAAAAAUUAAAAUGGUAAUGACAAACCGGGUAUCAUGUUUUAUAAAAGUCUUGGUUAAUUGCAAUUUGUACGAAAACAUUGGAAAUAGUUGAUCAUCUUAAAAGAGAUAAGGUCUAUUUUUGUAUGGAAAUGUAUAUUUCUAACGAUCUAUGUCAUAGAAGACAUUUGGUAUUUAAGACUUUUGGUAUGGUUUACAAUUGUUAAAGAUGUUCGAUGUUCUUGUUUUAAACUUUUUGUCAGAUAUUCCCCAUUCGGUGGUUUUGAUUUUGUGCCAUGAAAGAUUCUACACGCUAAACACUUAAUUAUUUUUACAUAAAGACUCUUUAUUAUAGACUAUUUGCAAACAUCUUAUCAAUUUUACCAAAUAUGUAAAAUAACCCCCAGUUGUAAUUAACUUUUACUGUACAGAAUAUUCUUUUAUUAUUUUGAUGGAAUGUAAAACACAUUUUGAUUACUUAGCUCAUAUCGAAACGUUCAAUGAUUCAAAUAUAUAAAUUAUGUUCAUAAAAACAAUUAAAAAAAAGAACAAAAACCCGACUGAACAGAUAUUCG